CGGGUCCGCCGCGGCGCUGACGGCGGUGGCCGGCCGGUGUGAGCGCGGAGCGGGGCCUGGGCAGCGGCGGGACCGUAGGACCUCGCGCUGUGUUCUCGGGCUCCGGGGCGGGGGCGGCGGCGGCAAGGCCCCCUCCCCGGGGAGGCGGGGCCUGGGCGAGCUCCCCAGAGGGGGAGCGGCGGCGGCAGGGAAGGAUGCAUCAGAAACUACUGAAGAGCGCGCAUUACAUAGAGCUGGGCAGCUACCAGUACUGGCCGGUCCUGGUGCCCCGCGGCAUCCGCCUCUACACCUACGAGCAGAUCCCUGUGUCCCUCAAGGACAACCCGUACAUCACCGACGGCUACCGGGCCUACCUCCCCUCCAGGCUGUGUAUCAAAAGUUUGUUUAUUUUAUCUAAUGAGACAGUAAACAUCUGGAGUCAUUUGCUGGGUUUUUUUCUCUUCUUUACCCUGGGAAUAUAUGAUAUGACAUCAGUAUUACCUUCGGCAAGUGCGUCCAGAGAAGAUUUUGUAAUUUGUUCUAUUUGUCUUUUCUGCUUCCAGGUCUGUAUGCUUUGCUCUGUGGGCUAUCAUCUUUUUUCCUGCCAUCGAUCAGAAAAAACCUGUCGAAGAUGGAUGGCAUUAGAUUAUGCAGGAAUUUCUAUUGGAAUACUGGGAUGCUAUGUCUCCGGGGUAUUUUAUGCAUUUUAUUGUAAUAACUAUUGGCGUCAAGUGUACUUGAUCACAGUGCUCGCUAUGAUCCUGGCAGUGUUCUUCGCACAGAUCCAUCCCAAUUACCUCACGCAGCAGUGGCAGAGGCUCCGCUCCAUCAUCUUCUGUUCCGUUUCGGGAUACGGAGUGAUCCCUACCCUUCACUGGGUUUGGCUCAAUGGAGGAAUCGGUGCUCCUAUUGUACAGGACUUUGCACCCCGUGUAAUUGUGAUGUAUGUGAUUGCUCUUCUUGCUUUCCUAUUCUACAUUUCCAAAGUUCCAGAACGGUACUUUCCAGGACAACUGAACUACCUCGGAUCAAGCCACCAGAUAUGGCAUGUCCUUGCAGUAGUGAUGUUAUAUUGGUGGCAUCAGUCAACAGUGUAUGUCAUGCAGUACCGACAUAGCAAGCCUUGCCCUGACUAUGUUUCACAUUUGUGAACUCAGCUUCAAAAUCGUAUUUUAGAAUCAGGAAUGAAGAUUCAGGGAAUCUCUGUCACAUCCUUUGGCAUCCUACCUGGACAAAGUAUCCGAUUUGAAGAUUGUGAUUGACUGGCAUAAAGCUGUGCAACUCCAUUUGGCAGGUACCUACCGAGAGCUAUCCUUUGCCCUGUAUUAAAAUGUCAAGGGGCAAAGCCUACACUUCUGGAUUCCUGCCAACUGCUGAGCUGAGUAGAUCUGUAUCCACCUGAAGUCAUCAUUCCGGGAAUUAAUGCCAAGAGUCCGCCAGAAGUAUCUACUGUUUAGAAGGAAAUGGAGCAGCACCAAAUGGGUCUAAUUCGACUGACUGGGACUGUUGGGGCUGAUGUGAAGUGAUGCUUUGCACUACAAGUUCUGUAAAGGGCACGGCACCAAAAUCAUCCAUUUUCAAGGCAUCUGUACUAUGGAACGAGCCAUGCAGUGAAUUGGGUCUGGGCCGCCCAGGCAGGCCGGGGUUGUGAUCGGCACGGACGUCACUCAGGCCCUGAUGUGGAGGGUGCCACGGCAGGUCUGGAGGAUGGAAGGGCUUGGCACCGAACGGGUCCAACAGACUCUCCUCGGGCUGCAGGCCGUUCCCUCUGUCUUUCCCAUCCGUUAGUGCAAUGCUAAUGUUCUCCUUGGAGUCUGAGAUGGUUAAAAAUUCAUUGCUACUUUGAGAGUCUCGGCGGCCCACCUUCUUGUGCCUGCGAGCCCUCUCUGGAGUGCGGUAGGUAGGCUUCACAGUCUUCUUCGUGCUGGUUGGCGUGCCAUGAUGCCGCUUGCCAUUACUUUUGGGCAGAUCCUGCUUUGUGCGCCUCUGGCGAGAAGACAGUUUCUGUAAGCUUCGCUGUUUGACUUUUUGUUGUUGACUCCCAGUUAUUUCCUCAAAGGGCACAAGCCCAAAAACGUCCUCGUUGCUGUCACUUUUGCUUAUUGAUGUGGGAAAGGGCUGAAAGGGAGUGGAGCCAAAGAUAUCUACACUCUUCGGACAACCGGUUUGUGCUUCCGGCCCCACGGCACGGCAUUCUGGUACAUUCACCUUCUUGCUGAAGGGUGCCUUUGUGAAUACAUCAAAUUCCUCCUGCUCUAGACCCACAGUAGGACAGAGGGGCUGUUGACAGAAGUCCUUUUCAUUCUUCCCUUGGUGAGGCUGUUGAGCACGCACUGCAAAGAAGGGGACAGCGCCAAAUACAUCAAACUCCUGUUUAGGAGCCUCCACUCCAACAUCAGAGGGCAGUCGGGUCGAGGUGAGGAGUGUGUUAGGAGGAUCUUGCGUUGGUCCACUGCCAGAUUUGUCUCUGUAGACAGGGCUCGCAUCACUGUACUUUACUUUGGCCUGCUCAUAAUCAGAAUCAGAGCUAUGUUUCUCUUCUUCCUCAUCUUCAGAAUCCAUGAGGAGAGGCCUAUGACCCAGAUUUUCCGGUUCAGUAUCAUCAUCAUUAAAAUCUCCUUGUUCUCCCUGAAGAACUUCUUCAUCCUCUUGUUCCUCCUCUUCGCUGCUCUUAGGAGAAGGGGGAUCUGAUUCGAAAUCACUUUCAGACUCAUCGUUCUGCUUUUGCACUUGACCCUGUACUGAUGAUGAAUUCUCUGAGGUUUUCUUUCCAGUCCGGUGGUCUUUAGAUACUGGACUUGCUUUUCUAUUCUUGAUAGGGUUUGCAGAACUAUUUUCUUGAUUCAUGGAUGAAUGUUCAAUUUUCUUUUCUGGAGAACCUGCAGGUUCAAAGAAAAAUCAUUAUAGCAUUCCAAUACAUUUCAAGAACCAUUUGCACUAAACAAUAUGCAAGAACACAAGGCAUUACAAAUCCCUCAUACCAGUUCACUUAGAGAAAAUAAUGUCAAUUCUUUGGUCAUUAGGCUUAGGGAACGCACGUAUCCUCAACUAGACAGUUAGGUCCUCUAGUGCAGAGAGAUUUACUUGCCUCUGUACCCUACACACCACCACCUACUCAUCAUAGGCCCUCAUUGACAGCUUUUUAUUUAUGGUACCCAGUAGAGGCUCUGAAUAUAAUACACAGGCAAAUUUUCUUCUCCGACUUUCCAAGUAAGAUUAUUCAGCUAAUUGCCCCUACUCAGAAUCCCACAUUUACCAAACCACAUUCUGCUUAUAUUUCAACUCCAUUAUAAAGUUUUCCCAAAGAGAUCAACAAGCAGGAAGAGCUUGUCUGCUCAGUUAUAUGUUUCACUGUAAUUUUUUAAAAUUAGCAUUCUGGUCGUCUUACAACCUAGGUUAGCACGAGUGCCUCCCCAUAAUCUGAUCAAAGCCAAGGACCAGGUACUGAACCAAGACCGUACCAAGGACAUCUGCCUUCUCUAGAUGACACAUCUUCCUUUAACUGUCUUAUCUUCACUACUAAACACUCCAUUAAAA